rnacentral:lncRNA from 1 species
ACCUCCGCCGUACACCUAUGCACUCAUGUCGCUUCGCAGCCGGUCUCCCGCGCAACUUCCAGCUCCCAGCCGUACAGCUACCCGACUCAUGCCAACGACCCGUGUGCGUGCCCCCAGGCUCGGCAGCUUCCAAGCCGGCCCACCGUACAACUACCAGCUCCCAGCCGCGGCAGCUACCAACACCCAACCGCAGCUCCUGUAGGGCUGAGGGGUUUGGGGGUGCCGUACACGAGUUAGUUGGGGGUUAAUCGGAGCUGUCCUAGAACAUACAGUCCUUCGCGCUUCCCACACGCGUGUGCGCUCAACUGCCAGCUCCCACUCGCGCGCCUGCCGACUAGCACCAACUACACGUGUGCGUCACUACAGUCAGGUAGCUUCCGAGCCGGGUCGCCGUACAACUACCUGCUCACACUCGCGCAGCUGCCGACUGCCAAGCUACCUCCUGUACGGCUGAGGGGGUUUGGGGUGCCGUACACAAGUUAGUUGGGGGUUAGUCGGAGCUGUCCUAGAACCCCCAUUAUACUAUUUUU